rnacentral:rRNA from 1 species
GAUGAACGCUGGCGGCGUGCCUAAUACAUGCAAGUCGAGCGAACAGAUGAGGAGCUUGCUCCUCUGACGUUAGCGGCGGACGGGUGAGUAACACGUGGAUAACCUACCUAUAAGACUGGGAUAACUUCGGGAAACCGGAGCUAAUACCGGAUAAUAUAUUGAACCGCAUGGUUCAAUAGUGAAAGACGGUUUUGCUGUCACUUAUAGAUGGAUCCGCGCCGCAUUAGCUAGUUGGUAAGGUAACGGCUUACCAAGGCAACGAUGCGUAGCCGACCUGAGAGGGUGAUCGGCCACACCGGAACUGAGACACGGUCCAGACUCCUACGGGAGGCAGCAGUAGGGAAUCUUCCGCAAUGGGCGAAAGCCUGACGGAGCAACGCCGCGUGAGUGAUGAAGGUCUUCGGAUCGUAAAACUCUGUUAUUAGGGAAGAACAAAUGUGUAAGUAACUAUGCACGUCUUGACGGUACCUAAUCAGAAAGCCACGGCUAACUACGUG